UUUUGAUCUUUCAAACUUUUCUCUCUUCAUAUGAAGUUCCUUUGGAAUUGAAACAAAUUUCAAUUCUCAUAAGAUAUUAACAAUUGGGUGUCUAUCCGUUAAUAGUGGGGUGGAGGGGUUAUUGUCAAGAAAGAGUCCCUCUUAACAGAUGAGCAUUCCAAAGGCUUACCUGUGUGCCUGCCUUUGCUUUUUGGCCGGAGCUGUGCCUGAAGUCAUGUCUACCCUUUGGACUUUCUCUUCAAUUUAAGUCAUUUUGAGUAGUGUUUCUGCCUCUUGGAAUCUAAAGGAUCCACAUGAAUGUAAUGAAGUUAUGUGCCAGGUGCUAUGAGGCGAUGAGAAGGAAGAAGAGUAUGUACCACUGUCUUCCUGGAGGAAGUGACACAGGACCUGAGUCUUGAAAGCCCAGUAGGACUUAGCCAGCUCAAGGGAUUCUGAGCAGAGUGAGCCACAUAAGAAAUUACGUAGGAGCAUGACAGUUUGUGCCGUGUUUUGGAGAUCAAUGCAGUUCAUUGUUAUUGGAGUGAGGUUGGCAGUAGUGGAACAUUAGGUGGAUGAAUAAAUGUCACUAUCUCCGUCCCCAAGCUGAUGUGUGUUAAGUACUUUCUAUUUAUCCUUCAGGAAUUGCUGUGCACUUUACCUGGAUUUAUCUCAUGUAAGCCUUCCACAGCCUCUUGAGGUGCACACUAUAGUUAUCUCAUUUUACUGAUGAGGAAACAAGCUUGGGGAGGGGCUAAAAUAAUGUGUCCAAAGUCACUUAGCU
rnacentral:lncRNA from 1 species